AUAGGCCUUUUUCACAGAAGACAUUUUGACAUAUCACUGUAGGAAAAUCAGAAGUGUAAAUAAUGAAAUUAAUGAUGGCUGAAUUCCAUUUAGCUGCUUCAGUUUCAGGGUCCUGGAUUGCGCAUGCUGCCAGACUGACACACUAUCACAAUGGAGUUCUCAUUAAUGCUGCGGUCCAUCAAGGCCAACACCUCACCCCACAAGAACAGUUUCCUCCCGUCUGCAGCUGGCCUAAUCAACAAGGCCCGGGACACAGACUCUCAUCCUGUCCCAUGGACACUGCACGUUACAUUAAGAUCCAGUAGAAGGCAACCUUGCACAAUUUUCAGGACUUCAUCACUCCACCGUCAGUGUUCAUAACAUCUGCUCUGUCUCAUCAUAUUUUUUCUGUUGUCCUGUAAGCAAUCGAUGACGCUCUUUGAAAGAGAGGAAACACCAUCUUCAGCUUCUCCAACUCAAUACUGAACAGGCUCACUGUACUAUACUUCUGUUCUCCUUCUCUUGUGUUAUUUCAUUAUUGAUGAAAAAGGAGGAAAACACUCUUGGUGACACAGAAGCUUCUGUACUUUCCCAUAUAUUGAUGGAAGGAUCACAGCUUAUUUUUGCUCAACAGACCUGGGAGCUGGAAUGAAAUGUCAGCUGUGUGACACAAUUAUUCCUCAGUGUGCUCCGGCAUCUCGAAGCAGAAAACACCCUGCUGACUCAGAUCUCAUUAAGAUGCACUGAAGGGAGCAGCUGUAUGAUUUCUAAGCAAAAUGGUAGAAUUAGAGCAGAGAGAUGAAAAAAAAAACAGAUGAAAAAUGAAUGUUGUGAAAUGCUUGUGCCAGUGAGACAAUAAACCCCAAGUGAGUAGAGCGGCUCAGUGCUUUUGCAAUCCACAGAAAUUUUUUUAAAUUGAAGUGUUAUACCAUCCAAUAAGAAGAGAAAUCAAAUCCAUUUAAUACAAUGAUCUUGUAAUCCUGCAGUGAAUCAUGAAAAGUCUGUGAUUUACUGUAUGUAAUCAAAUUCACCUGCUCACUGUGUUGAGGUCAAAUGUCACAAUUUUGCAGUUGCAGAGAAAAUGAGCUGCUGGUUGUGUUUUUUUUGCAGUUAAUUAAUCUGCUCCAUAAUCCUUCAAAAAGUCCCCACAAGAAUAGGUCUAUGUUUCAGUUGUGAAGGUGUGUUGUAGGAAUAUUGCAGGUGAAAGUGUGUUUGUAAAGUCCUACUGAAGUGUUCACUGGACGUAACAAUUCCCGUAAGAUUCUGAUAUUAGCUGGUAAAUUCUUGUUGGACUGCUAGUUAUCCCUGCAGGACAAUCUCACUGAGCAGGAUACAGUUUGUCAGCAGAAUCUAAACUUUCCUGCUUCACUAAUUAAACAAGAAGUCUGUGUACCACAUAUGUACUUAAUUUUUGCUGCACAAAUUAGAAAAAUACAUUCCGGGCAUUUGUUGAUCAACAAAUCACUCUAUUGCUAGUCUUGAUUGCUAUAUAACAAUGGUCAAUCAGUCCAAACUGGACAGUAAAUCAUCACGAGACUGCAGAACCAGGAUGCAAGCACACAAACACGCUCUAAUAUGCAAACUGAAGUUGUCCUGACCGUGUUGGCCAGAGUGAAAUAGAGUUAUAGGUGACAAAUGGUUGUGAUUUUAUACACGCAUCUGUGAUGGUCAUCGUAUCAAUAUAGUUGACAAAACCCUCUCACCACAAGGUCCAUUUAGUAGCUACUCUGGAGCUUUCGAUUUUAUCACACAAUCCUUCUCAGCAGAUGGAGGUCAUGAACAAUGUUUGGCUGCGCAGCAUAAGUCUGAAAUCACUGACACACUGGAGGGCAGUUGGGCAAGUAAGCUGGUAAAUGCAGAUGUGUACACCUGUGUAGAGCGCUGACAAAAGUUGUGGUAAAAUGUGCAGCUGCAUGUCUGGUACGUUUGUAGGUAACUUCUACAUCUGGAUGUCGAACUUGUGGAGUCAGCACUUUCUGUCUCCUUCUUGUUCCUGUCACAAGUAAUGGAACAGGUGCUGUUAAGGUGGCAAGACAAGGUCACUGGCGUCAUUUCUCAGCACCACCGGGAGCCGUUUGUCAGAGCUGGCUAUGAUUUAAAGCUCCCCUUGCAAUAAAUAACAGAGUGAAUCAUUUGGCUACUGGCGGCUGUCCCGGGGUUAAAGUAUCUGUAAAUUGUGAGCAUUCCUCUUCCUCUUACACUUGUUUCACUCAGGCGAACGCUUUGACCUGCUGCUGUGUCUCUGUCUCGGGCUGCAGCUUUUAAGUUAGAGCAUCCACACUUAAAGAGGAAUGAGAAUUCAUAUUAAUCUCCGGGCCCAGAAAAUUAAUUUAGAGCCAUACUUAUGCAGAAAUACCUGCGUAAAACCACAUAAACCUUUGAACCACAAAGGCCAUUGCUAGGGCUGCUCUGAUGGGGAUGCUGUUAAAGAUAAGAGCCACAUAUAAACAUAUAAAUUUACACCACAAUGGCAUUUAGAGUGCUUUUGUGACAAAUAGUAACUGCUUGCAGAAACAUCUGUACCAUAAACAUGAUUUAGCAGUUAUUGUUAAACUGUUGUACAUUAGUAUUUUACACAGAAAAAAAACAACAAAAAAACAACAACCCAGAAACAAGUCUUAAAUCACAUCUUGACUUUAAUGUAUAAAAGUCCAAUAACAGCAUAUUACAGCAGCAUAUAUAUCGUACAUACAUAAUUUAUAUUGGAAAAGAGGAGGUGUAAUAUUCAGUACAAAAAGAGGAGAUGAGCAGCUGUACCAUUUCUCACCAAGCGUCAUUUUAUUACUUCUUCAUCUCAAUUCAUGGUACAAAAAGAAACACACAAUAACACAUGGUAUAUUUAGUGUGCACUGUAUAAUAUACAACAUAAUGCAAUAAGACUACAUACAGAUUUUAUAUUUAUUUAUGUACAUAAUAUACACUAAUUAUAUAGAUUGAUUUGGAAUGUCUUUAUUUUUAACCUCUGACUGAAAUCAAACUCUCUGACUACAUCUACACAGUGGAGGUGACACCCUUCUCUGAUCUAAAGAGAAUUCCUCUCUAAAUAAACUGCACACAGGUUUGAAGGGGAGGAAAAUACAACAAUGCGGCAGUGCACUAAGCUUGAAUAAACAUCAGCUCAGCUACCCAUCUCUGCUUUUUCGAUGUCAUGCCGGCAAAUAUGGGAGGCUUUUCAAUCUUCUCUGGCUCCUGGAGCACUUGGCUUUCAGCUGUGUGAUUAAGUGUGUGUGUGUGUAUAUGUGUGUUUGUGAAGUGCAUCCUGGGGGCUAGAUUAGCUCUAGAUCUGUCAGUUCAGACAGGAUGCCUGCUUUGCCUCUCACUGUCAAGAGUUUGCUUUCUGCGUACACACACACACACACACACACACACACACACACACACACACACACACACACACACACACACACACACACACACACACACAGGGGAAA